UACGUAGGGUGCAAGCGUUGUCCGGAAUUAUUGGGCGUAAAGAGCUCGUAGGCGGCUUGUCGCGUCGGCUGUGAAAACCUGGGGCUCAACCCCGGGCCUGCAGCCGAUACGGGCAAGCUAGAAUUCGGUAGGGGAGACUGGAAUUCCAGGUGUAGCGGUGAAAUGCGCAGAUAUCAGGAGGAACACCGGUGGCGAAGGCGGGUCUCUGGGCCGAUAUUGACGCUGAGGAGCGAAAGCGUGGGGAGCGAACAGG
rnacentral:rRNA from 1 species